rfam:Eubacteriaceae bacterium CHKCI005 isolate CHKC5 genome assembly, contig: {contig1}
GAGCAGAAUAGAGGUGCGCGAUUGAUGAGUAGUGCGUGAGAGGCCGCCGGGGCUUAGGACCACGUACAAAAGGCGAAAGCGCCGAAGGAUCCGGGUUCGGCAACCCUGCUCCUGGUUGCCUGGUUAAGAGCUUGGCAAUUGUCAUCAUGCUUUUGAUGGAGAGCUAUUCGACGU